GAUGAACGCUGGCGGCAUGCCUAACACAUGCAAGUCGAUCGGUAAGGCUCUUCGGAGUACACGAGAGGCGGACGGCUGAGUAACGCGUAGGAACACACCCUGCAGUGAGGGAUAAGACACCGAAAGGUGUUCUAAUACCGCAUACGGUCUUCGGAUUAAAGCAUUUAUGCGCUGAAGGAGUGGCCUGCGUCAUAUUAGAUAGUUGGUGAGGUAAUGGCUCACCAAGUCGAUGAUGUGUAGCUGGUCUGAGAGGAUGAUCAGCCAGACUGGAACUGAGACACGGUCCAGACUCGUACGGGAGGCAGCAGUGAGGAAUAUUUCACAAUGAGCGAAAGCUUGAUGGAGCAAUGCCGCGUGCAGGAUGAAGGCCCUCGGGUUGUAAACUGCUUUUAUAAGAGAAGAUUAUGACGGUAACUUAUGAAUAAGGGACGGCUAACUACGUG
rnacentral:rRNA from 1 species